rnacentral:misc_RNA from 1 species
GAAAUGCGAUAAGUAAUGUGAAUUGCAGAAUUCAGUGAAUCAUCGAAUCUUUGAACGCACAUUGCGCCCCCUGGUAUUCCGGAGGGCAUGCCUGUUCGAGCGUCAUUUCACCACUCAAGCCUCGCUUGGUAUUGGGCGACGCGGUCCGCCGCGCGCCUCAAAUCGACCGGCUGGGUCUUUCGCCCCCUCAGCGUUGUGGAAACUAUUCGCUAAAGGGUGCCGCGGGAGGCCACGCCGUAAAACAACCCCAUUUCUAAGGUUGACCUCGGAUCAGGUAGGGAUACCCGCUGAACUUAAGC